UUAUUUUCAUUUGGAGAGAGAGAUUUUCAGAGAAAUAGAGGGAGAACGUGAAAAGAGAGUUAAAGUGAAAUAGAUCUAGGUCUUCGACGGUGGUGCUUGUGUUUUAUAGUAGUUGCGGUUCAAGGCUUCAAGCGACAUUGAUGACACCGGUUUUCGAACAUAGCAGAGGCGGUGCAACCAUUGGCUGAGGUCUCGCGGUGGUCUUUGACAUCACAAACAUAUCUGGUUGUGGCAACGACUUAUUGUUGAAGAUGGGAGGUUGCCUUGUGCUUAGGUACGUUUUCCCGUGUUCAGAUCUAGGCGAUGGCAGAGAUCAAUUUAGGAGCACAGAGCACUCGUACUUGAAUAGACCAUGGUAUGCUUUAGGUCUGCUUCUCAUUUGCAAACCAUAGACGGCAAGAUGAAAUAGGUCACAACGAUUUCUGUUUGAAACAAAUUACUUUUAGUAUGGUUGAAAACGGCCUGUGUUAUGAAUGUACUAAUAUGUGUUUCUCGUUUAGCCUCAUUUCUUAAUUUGGUAUUGCCUUGUGGCUUACAAAAAAAGUAUUGAUUUGGUUUUUAAUCUCUUUUGGGUAUCCCUUUCUUCUUGAACGAUAGAUAGUUAUGACUGAUUUUAGUGGUUAGUAGGAAGGAUAAUUCAGAUGAAACCGGUAAAACACAUCUCAGUUGUCGUUCUCUUCAGAGCUUUUAUCUGACCAUGUCUUUUUAAUUACCUAUAUUGGAACUGGACUAAAAGAUGAAACAAAGUUAGUAUCUGAUUUAUUUA